CAAUGUUCAUGCUCUCGUUGGCAUAACGCAUGGUGAUGAUGUCGUACAGUUGGUUAUUGAGGCGGAAGCCUGAACGGGACACAAGACACAUGACUGCACAGUGACAAGAACAUUCACAACAGGCUGUCAAUGCUACCCGACUGGUCGGGGUUGUAUUGCUUAAAGAUUCCCUAGAAUGGAAGAGUGUUCAAAAGUGGCGGAACUCUUGAAGGUUAAGGCGACUCGUCCCGUCCAUCUGAGCCCGUUCAGUUAAGGUAGGCCUAUAACCUUUCUAACAUUUCUUUAAAAUAAAGAAUUUAUGUACUGUUAAAUUGUGUGUAUACGUGUUUUUGUGG